UACGUAGGUGGCGAGCGUUAUCCGGAAUGAUUGGGCGUAAAGGGUGCGCAGGCGGUCCUGCAAGUCUGGAGUGAAACGUAUGAGCUCAACUCAUGCAUGGCUCUGGAAACUGGAGGACUGGAGAGCAGGAGAGGGCGGUGGAACUCUAUGUGUAGCGGUAAAAUGCGUAGAUAUUAGGAGGAACACCAGCGGCGAAAGCGAUUCACUGGACUGUAACUGACACUGAGGCACGAAAGCGUGGGGAGCAAACAGG
rnacentral:rRNA from 1 species